GAAUUAAAAUCGGAACAGAACAGAGAAUUUUGAUCGGAACAUCGUAUCAAAUUCUUUCAAUAAAGUCCGCAAUGAUAUGCUCUAGCAAUUAAAUGACCAUUUACAACAUUCGUACAAUAUGACGUAUACGUAAUCUGACGAAGACGAUACGGACUGCAACAACGAUGGACUCCUUAAGGCGCAAAACUUGUCCAAAAACCGCGACAAGUUAAGAAACGAUAAUGUACAAGAUGUUAUGCCUAACAAUCGCUUCUAAAUUCAACGAUAUCGAUUUAAGAAGUAUCGAUCUCAAAAUCUAGCUCAGCAUACUCAGAUCAAAAUUGAAUCAUUCCCAAAUCAUGCAAAUGACUGACUAUUCCUUUUUCGUCAUAUUUCUGACCCUAUUGUUGGUCCUACGAAACGGAGACUUGGACAUUUGGAAUAGUGCAUUUAUGCUUAGUGCCAAUGAUUAGCGGUAUGAUUGCAAUACCACGCAGCAUGGGUUGAGGAAGGGAAAGCUAAACAAAGACAGGAUGUGGAAGGUUAUGUUGAUCCGGAGAGUCAAAAUGCAUUAAAGGAAAGGCGAACGCAUCGAAAAAGCAAGGAUUCUCUGAAAGGAAAAAUCGAAACGACGAGAGUAUUUAUAUUGGGGUGUUUGGGAUUCGCAACUCAUCUACUUCAGGCUCGUGGAAACACAAAAUUGAAAGGUCGGAAACAGCACAUCGAAUUGCCGUCGGAUAAUAAAACAGGAAUUAGGAGGACAAUGAUUAUUUACCGUAUUUAUCGUAGCAGAGAUAUAUUAAACUCAUGAAGUAUAUGUAAAUUUAAAAUGUACACAUUGGGGCAUAUUCUAUAUUCUGUAUUGGCGCAAGUGUCUACUUUACUGUGUUUCAAACCUCUACAAGGGU
ensembl:ncRNA lncRNA:CR45558 long non-coding RNA:CR45558